rnacentral:lncRNA from 1 species
CGGCCCCAGACCUGGGGGGCCACCUGGACUCCAGGAGGCCGGCCAGAAUCCCCCAGGAGUGGAGGCUGGGGAUGCACCCGGCGAGCCCCGGAAGGUGCCGCAACCUCCCUCCCACGAGGGCCUGGAGCAGAACUCUCGGGCACACGCUGAGGUCCAGGAACGCAUGGUGCCCAUCCGGUAACUUCCCCAGCUGGCUGGGGAAUGAGGGGACAUCCUGGGGGCAGGGUCGGGCACGGGGACAGGAGAGUAAGGGGUGGAAUCACAGCACCCCUGCAGUCUCCAUACCAGACCCACCCUAAGCCCAAGGGUGGGCCAGGGAGGAGAGGCCACCCCUGGGGCAAGGGAAGUUGGGGGAGCUCCCUUCUCACCCAGGGCUGGGGCCCCUGCCUGUACAUCCCCUCCCAAAGAGUCUGCUGCAACCCCCAUCUUAUCUUGAAGCUCUGCCUCCCAUACCCCAAAAGUGGAAGGGUGGGGCAGACAGCUAACUCCACUCCAUGGCCCCAGGAUGGAGGGCGCUGCCUGCCCCAGGGCAGGUGCAACAGAGCUCUGGGACAUCCACAGCCACGUGUUCACAGAGACGAAGCACAGGACAUAUGUGUACCAGGCCAGCGACAUGUGUGCCACAAGGCCCCCAUCCAUGCAGGUCACCAUUGAGGAUGUGCAGGCCCAGAGGGGCGGCGUGGCGCAAUUCCAGGCUGUCAUUGAGGGCAACCCGCAGCCCACAGUGACCUGGUAUAAGGUAGGGACAGGCGUGGGGUGGGGGCCUGCCUGCGAGAGGGGUAGUGUGUGAAACCCCACUGGACUGGACACAGCACU